rnacentral:rRNA from 1 species
CCUCAGUAACGGCGAGUGAAGCGGUAACAGCUCAAAUUUGAAAGCUAGCUCUUCUAGGGUUCGCAUUGUAAUUUGUAGAAGAUGUUUCGGGUGUGGCCCCGGUCUAAGUUCCUUGGAACAGGACGUCAUAGAGGGUGAGAAUCCCGUAUGUGACUGGGUGCUUUCGCUCAUGUGAAACUCUUUCGACGAGUCGAGUUGUUUGGGAAUGCAGCUCAAAAUGGGUGGUAAAUUUCAUCUAAAGCUAAAUAUUGGCCAGAGACCGAUAGCGCACAAGUAGAGUGAUCGAAAGAUGAAAAGCACUUUGGAAAGAGAGUUAAACAGUACGUGAAAUUGUUGAAAGGGAAGCGCUUGCAACCAGACUUGCGCGCUGAUGAUCAUCCGGGCUUCUGCCUGGUGUACUUGUCUGCGCUCAGGCCAGCAUCGGUUUCGGUGGUGGGAUAAAGGCCUUGGGAAUGUAGCUCCUCUCGGGGAGUGUUAUAGCCCUCGGUGCAAUGCCGCCUACCGGGACCGAGGACCGCGCUUCGGCUAGGAUGCUGGCGUAAUGGUUGUAAGCGACCCGUCUUGAAACACGGACCAAGGAGUCUAACAUCUAUGCGAGUGUUUGGGUGUCAAACCCAUACGCGUAAUGAAAGUGAACGGAGGUGAGAACCCUUAAGGGUGCAUCAUCGACCGAUCCUGAUGUCUUCGGAUGGAUUUGAGUAAGAGCAUAGCUGUUGGGACCCGAAAGAUGGUGAACUAUGCGUGAAUAGGGUGRAGCCAGAGGA